CCUGGGUAAUGUAAGUGUGUGUUUAUUAGAUGUUAAUUUUAGCUCAUAUCAUUAUUUGUAUGUGUGUCUCCCUACUAACUUUGUCUUUUAUUUUAUAUAGGAUGCAAAUUUAGAGGUGCCAUCGAGAAUCAUACUUCAAUGUUGGCUUCAUGGAACCAGUGCUUGUUAACCAAGAUCAGAUUCGGGAUCACUCAAUGGAUACAUUGGACCGAAUAUACAAAUUCUUGGAGCAACAGAAUUACAAGCAAUAUAUACUACUGCCUUACAACUUUAAGUAAGUGUGGGUACCAUCAAUUUUCAUUUUCCUUUUCCUUACCUAAUUAAUUAAUGUUAGUUAGUUCUAAUAUGAACAUUUAUGUACACAGUUUCCACUGGAUUCUCCUUAUAAUUAUUAGAUUCUCCUUAUAAUUAUUGAGGGAUAUGGGAACCCCAUGGGUCCUCACCGACCAGGAUACUGGCUAGUCCUGACAAGUGGGCCUGCCUAACCAGAAUGUGCGGGCCAAGGACGUGAAAAUACUUGGAGCACAAGUCAAGGAGGCUGGGCGAUUCAAAUCAGCCCAGAUAUUUUGGGAUACUUAUUGUAAUCUGACUCAGAUUGCUUUCCAUGUAACUACCGACUAGGUUAGAUUCAAACCAACUUGUAACCCUAGGUCGUCAGCCUAUAUAGGGCGGCCAAGGGCACCUCCUGAGGGCAAUCCCAUCUAAACCCAUCACAUCCCAACUAUUCCACGCACCAGCGCAAAGCAAUACAAACCUCCAAAAUACAGGACGUAGGGUAUUACUCUCCGGAGGCCCAAACCUGUCUAACCCUUCGUGUUCUUGGUCUUGCAAUCCCCUCUCCCUACAAAUCAACCACUUGGGUAACCCCCUGGUGGACUGCCG
rnacentral:lncRNA from 1 species